UGACGGUACCUGACUAAGAAGCCCCGGCUAACUACGUGCCAGCAGCCGCGGUAAUACGUAGGUCCCGAGCGUUGUCCGGAUUUAUUGGGCGUAAAGCGAGCGCAGGCGGUUUAAUAAGUCUGAAGUUAAAGGCAGUGGCUUAACCAUUGUUCGCUUUGGAAACUGUUAGACUUGAGUGCAGAAGGGGAGAGUGGAAUUCCAUGUGUAGCGGUGAAAUGCGUAGAUAUAUGGAGGAACACCGGUGGCGAAAGCGGCUCUCUGGUCUGUAACUGACGCUGAGGCUCGAAAGCGUGGGGAGCAAACAGGAUUAGAUACCCUG
rnacentral:rRNA from 1 species